CAUGUGCGUAAGGAGCAUUUCGUCCACCUCAUUGGGGUUAGAUUCCAGGAAUGGCACCAGGUUUGGGUCGCUUUCCCUCAGCCGAUCAAACGCCUGUGAAUGCAGAUACCAUUAUUGAGGAAAAGACCCCACCCGAGGUGAUUAAAAAGCGUGACUCCGAACCCGACGUGUCUGUACAAGCAACAAAGGUGGUUACCGUCACAAUCAACAAUGAUAAGCACCAUGUUUCUUGGCUGAAUAACCAGUAGUCUGCAUGCAGCACACCCGCUCCUUUAGCAUAAUGGUACUCAGAAAUAGUACUCAAUCAAAUUCGACGCGAGUUGCCGUGGAACCAAUAGUGAGUUUUAGGAAAAUAAGCCAAAACGUUGGAAUCACAGUUGUGAUUGACAUAAAUGUCGAAUUUAGAAGGUUUUCGUCGUAAUCUUGAGAGCGCUAAAGCAUUUAUUUGCUACGCAUUUUAGCUGGUUAAGCUAACUGAAAUUGCCUUGGUGGUUAUAGUAACACGCAUCGCUUAUGUCAGGUGCACACUAGUGACAUAAAGACAUGGUAUAUUACACUCUUUUUCGCCGGACAUAACGACAUUGACAUAACGAUGUCGGUGUUAUGUCGGGCUUAUGUCAAAAUGUCAAACCAUUCACACUUGAACAUACGAAGAUAAGAGUGCGCGCGCCCAAGUCGUUAUGUCACUAGUGUGCACCAGGCAUAAGAUUUCCUAGUGGUUACCUUAUUUGUCGGAGCAAACAAAGUUAUUGAGCGGGAGCUGUUCUUCAGCAUAUCCGACAGGGAGCUUUUCUCGAGUAUGCGCGCGAGUGUCGUAAACUGAGGUUCAUUGCGCACGAUGUCGUACAGAGUCCGCUGCUCUGGGAUGAGCACACUGCUGAUCACGUGAAUCACGCUGUUACAUGUUUCUAGGUUCGAUCGCGACAGACAAGCGCCAUUUACUGAGUGCAGCUGGAA